CUCGUAGGUGGCCAACUAAGUCAGACGUGAAAUCCCUCAGCUUAACUGGGGAACUGCGUCUGAUACUGGAUGGCUUGAGUUUGGGAGAGGGAUGCGGAAUUCCAGGUGUAGCGGUGAAAUGCGUAGAUAUCUGGAGGAACACCGGUGGCGAAGGCGGCAUCCUGGACCAAUACUGACACUGAGGAGAGAACGCCAGGGGGAGACGAAACG
rnacentral:rRNA from 1 species